AUGUCUCGUUAUCGAGGACCUCGUUUAAAAAAAAUACGCCGUCUGGGAGCUUUACCAAGACCCACUAGAAAAACACCUAAAUCCGGAAGUAAUCUUAAAAAAUUCAAUUCUGGGAAAAAGGAGCAAUAUCGUAUUCGUCUUCAAGAAAAACAGAAAUUGCGUUUUCAUUAUGGUCUGACAGAACGACAAUUACUUAGAUAUGUACAUAUCGCUGGAAAAGCAAAAAGGUCAACAGGCCAGGUUUUACUACAAUUACUUGAAAUGCGUUUGGAUAAUAUCCUUUUUCGAUUGGGUAUGGCUUCAACCAUUCCUGGGGCCCGCCAAUUAGUCAACCAUAGACAUAUUUUAGUUAAUGGUCGUAUAGUCAAUAUACCAAGUUUUCGUUGCAAACCCCGAGAUAUUAUUACUACGAAAGAUAACCAAAGAUCAAAUGGUCGAACUACCAUAAUAUCUAGAAAUGUAGAUCUUAAACUAGAAAGGCUUUUUUGGAUGGAAAAACUCUGA
rnacentral:rRNA from 1 species